ACUCCACAUACGCAUCCUUUGCUGAGGAUACGGUUAACGGAGCGAAAGCGACGUUCAACCUCAAAAGAAGCAGAGGGGGCUUAGUGGUGGGGUGACUGCGUACCUUUUGUAUAAUGGGUCAGCGACUUAUAUUCUGUAGCAAGGUUAACCGCAUAGGGGAGCCGUAGGGAAACCGAGUCUUAACCGGGCGUUAAGUUGCAGGGUAUAGACCCGAAACCCGGUGAUCUAGCCAUGGGCAGGUUGAAGGUUGGGUAACACUAACUGGAGGACCGAACCGACUAAUGUUGAAAAAUUAGCGGAUGACCUGUGGCUGGGGGUGAAAGGCCAAUCAAACCGGGAGAUAGCUGGUUCUCCCCGAAAGCUAUUUAGGUAGCGCCUCGUGAACUCAUCUCCGGGGGUAGAGCACUGUUUCGGCUAGGGGGCCAUCCCGGCUUACCAACCCGAUGCAAACUGCGAAUACCGAAGAAUGUUAUCACGGGAGACACACGGCGGGUGCUAACGUCCGUCGUGAAGAGGGAAACAACCCAGACCGCCAGCUAAGGUCCCAAAGUCAUGGUUAAGUGGGAAACGAUGUGGGAAGGCACAGACAGCCAGGAUGUUGGCUUAGAAGCAGCCAUCAUUUAAAGAAAGCGUAAUAGCUCACUGGUCGAGUCGGCCUGCGCGGAAGAUGUAACGGGGCUAAACCAUGCACCGAAGCUGCGGCAGCGACACUAUGUGUUGUUGGGUAGGGGAGCGUUCUGUAAGCCGUUGAAGGUGUCCUGUGAGGGAUGCUGGAGGUAUCAGAAGUGCGAAUGCUGACAUAAGUAACGAUAAUGCGGGUGAAAAACCCGCACGCCGGAAGACCAAGGGUUCCUGUCCAACGUUAAUCGGGGCAGGGUGAGUCGACCCCUAAGGCGAGGCCGAAAGGCGUAGUCGAUGGGAAACAGGUUAAUAUUCCUGUACUUGGUGUUACUGCGAAGGGGGGACGGAGAAGGCUAUGUUGGCCGGGCGACGGUUGUCCCGGUUUAAGCGUGUAGGUGUGUGUUCCAGGUAAAUCCGGUUCACUUUAACACUGAGGCGUGAUGACGAGGCACUACGGUGCUGAAGUGACAAAUGCCCUGCUUCCAGGAAAAGCCUCUAAGCAUCAGGUAACACGAAAUCGUACCCCAAACCGACACAGGUGGUCAGGUAGAGAAUACCAAGGCGCUUGAGAGAACUCGGGUGAAGGAACUAGGCAAAAUGGUGCCGUAACUUCGGGAGAAGGCACGCUGAUAUGUAGGUGAAGCGGUUUACCCGUGGAGCUGAAAUCAGUCGAAGAUACCAGCUGGCUGCAACUGUUUAUUAAAAACACAGCACUGUGCAAACACGAAAGUGGACGUAUACGGUGUGACGCCUGCCCGGUGCCGGAAGGUUAAUUGAUGGGGUUAUCCGUAAGGAGAAGCUCUUGAUCGAAGCCCCGGUAAACGGCGGCCGUAACUAUAACGGUCCUAAGGUAGCGAAAUUCCUUGUCGGGUAAGUUCCGACCUGCACGAAUGGCGUAAUGAUGGCCAGGCUGUCUCCACCCGAGACUCAGUGAAAUUGAACUCGCUGUGAAGAUGCAGUGUACCCGCGGCAAGACGGAAAGACCCCGUGAACCUUUACUAUAGCUUGACACUGAACACUGGUCCUUGAUGUGUAGGAUAGGUGGGAGGCUUUGAAGUGUGGACGCCAGUCUGCAUGGAGCCAUCCUUGAAAUACCACCCUUUAAUGGCUGGUGUUCUAACGUGGGCCCCUAAUCGGGGUUGCGGACAGUGUCUGGUGGGUAGUUUGACUGGGGCGGUCUCCUCCCAAAGAGUAACGGAGGAGCACGAAGGUUAGCUAAUCCUGGUCGGACAUCAGGAGGUUAGUGCAAAGGCAUAAGCUAGCUUGACUGCGAGAGUGACGGCUCGAGCAGGUGCGAAAGCAGGUC
rnacentral:rRNA from 1 species